rnacentral:piRNA from 2 species
GUUGUUGUGAGAAUUAAAUAAAUCAGUGCCU